UACGGAGGGUGCGAGCGUUGUCCGGAAUCACUGGGCGUAAAGGGCGCGUAGGCGGCGCGGGCAGUCAACGGUGAAAGCUUGGGGCUCAACCCCCGAGUCGGCCGUCGAUACUCCCGGGCUGGAGCACUGUAGAGGCAGGUGGAAUUCCGGGUGUAGCGGUGAAAUGCGCAGAUAUCAGGAGGAACACCAAUGGCGAAGGCAGCUCGCUGGGACGGUACUGACGCUGAUGCACGAAAGCGUGGGGAGCAAACAGG
rnacentral:rRNA from 1 species